GUUUAAUUGAACUAAGAUACACAUUUGCAGAAAUGGGGGUUGGCCUAUUCCAUGGCUUCUAGAGAAAAAUAAUGAGGGGUGUCACGGGGUAUGACUAUAUAGGUCUUGUAGAGGAGAAACAGGCGCAUCUUUUGCGCAAAGUAUCGAAGGGCACUAUGUUCAAAAAUCUGAAACUAGAGCUCAAAAUUUGAAAACAAAUUAUUUUAAACAGGGGGUUGGCCUAUUCCAUGGCUUCUAGAGAAAAAAUAAUGAGGGGUGUCACGGGGUAUGACAAUAUAGGUCUUGUAGAGGAGAAAGAGGCGCAUCUUUUGCGCAAGGUAUCGAAAAGCGCUAUGUUCAAAAAUCUGAAACUAGAGCUCAAAAUUUGAAAAAAAAUUGUUUUAAACAGGGGGGUUCGCCUAUUCCAUGGCUUCUAGAGAAAAAUAAUGAGGGGUGUCACGGGGUAUGACUAUAUAGGUCUUGUAGAGGAGAAACAGGCGCAUCUUUUGCGCAAGGUAUCGAAGGGCGCUAUGUUCAAAAAUCUGAAACUAGAGCUCAAAAUUUGAAAAAAAAAUUGUUUUAAACUUGGGGGUUGGCCUAUUCCAUGGCUUCUAGAGAAAAAUAAUGAGGGGUGUCACGGGGUAUGGCUAUAUAGGUCUUGUAGAGGAGAAACAGGCGCAUCUUUUGCGCAAGGUAUCGAAGGGCGCUAUGUUCAAAAAUCUGAAACUAGAGAUCAAAAUUUGAAAAAAAAUUGUUUUAAACAGGGGGGUUCGCCUAUUCCAUGGCUUCUAGAGAAAAAUAAUGAGGGGUGUCACGGGGUAUGACUAUAUAGGUCUUGUAGAGGAGAAACAGGCGCAUCUUUUGCGCAAGGUAUCGAAGGGCGCUAUGUUCAAAAAUCUGAAACUAGAGCUCAAAAUUUGAAAACAAAUUAUUUUAAACAGGGGGUUG